UUAAGGAGGCCCACAGAAACAUUGAGAUUGAUGUUUCGCUACACGAUACCGAAUCCAAUAGCGAUCGAUAAAUGUCGGUUUCACACACUCAUCCAAUGUUCAGCCGAUGGGCUCCGAAAGAAAUUGAAAUAAAAGAGAUGAUCAGUCUAUUCUGAUACUUCGAACUAAACAGCUCAGUUUCAUCUCUUUAGAAUCUACAUCACAUUGUCUCGGCCCAAUAAUAUCUAUAGUUUAUUAAAAGUAUUAAAACACGAAAUCGCGGCGACGAGGAUGGGAUUAUUAACUUACCAAUCGCGUGCAACAGUAACGGUUAAUCUGCGAUAUUAUUUUUCGGCUGUUUAAACCAUCCCAGCAGUAUGAGCCAUUUGAGAGUAAGCGCAAAGGUGCGGCCGAUAAGGUACGAAUGCGGCAAAGAUAUUGUGGUUCAUCUGAGGCCUUCCGUCACGUCCAAAUGCAUUAGAAGAUUGAGACUAUGCGAAACCAAGGAUAUCUCAAAUAAGAAUUCGAUCGUAGUAAAUGUACAAGCAGAACAAACUCCGAAAAAUAAAAUAUUUCGCUGUGAUUAUUGUCACCAUGUACUGAGAGAUUUAACCAAAAUAUUGUUUGUUCAAUUUAUAGUUUACAUUGUUAAGUGUUCGUUUAUACAAAGAAUUAUGUACUAUUUAUUUGACAAAUGUCAAGUUCUGAUAAUUAUAUUCUUAAUUUUUAAAGGGGGAAGAACUGUAGUGAUCUUCGCUACACGAUACUCAUGCAACACACAUACAAUGUUCAGCCGAUGGGCUCCGAAAGAAAUUGAAAUAAAAGAGAUGAUCAGUCUAUUCUGAUACUUCGAACUAAA